GUUUCACUCUGUCAUUCAGGCUGAGGUUCAGUGGCAUAAUCACCGCUCACUGCAGCCUCAGUCUCCCAGGCUUAAGUGAUUCUCCCAUUUCAGCCUCCUGAGUAGCUGAGACUACAGGCGUAUGGCACCACGCCCAGCUAGUUUUUGUAUUUUUUUUGUAGAGACAGGGUUUUGCCAUGUUGCCCACGCUGAUCUCAAACUCCUGGGCUGAAGCAGUCCACCCACCUAGGCCUCUUGAAGUGUUGAGAUUAAAGACAUGAGCCACUAUGCCCAGCCAGUUGAUUCGUUUUACCUAAAUAAAUUUAGAUUUCAAUUUAAGAACAUGAAAUUUGAGACAUAUAUCCAAUGUAUAAUAACAUAAUAUACCCAGCAUUAUUUUACAUUGGGUAUUUUUGUAAUGUUAUACUUUUCAGUUUGGAAUCUGUUUUUUCAUUUUAGGUUUUUGGGACAUUUAUAUGCUGCAGAAGCCCUCAUCUCUCUCGACAGAAUAUCUGAUGCCAUUACUCACUUGAACCCGGAGAAUGUCACUGAUGUCUCCUUAGGGAUCUCUUCAAAUGAGCAGGACCAAGCUGGGAAGCGGGCCCCUCAGUGCUACCCCAGUUCCGUCAAUUCUGCCAGGACUGUGAUGCUGUUCAACCUUGGCAGCGCUUACUGCCUGAGGAGUGAAUAUGACAAAGCCCGAAAGUGUCUCCACCAGGCGGCUUCAAUGAUCCAUCCUAAAGAGGUGCCCCCUGAGGCCAUCUUGCUGGCAGUCUACCUUGAGCUGCAGAAUGGUAAUACUCAGCUGGCCUUACAGAUCAUCAAAAGGAAUCAGCUGCUCCCUGCAGUGAAAACACACUCUGAAGUGAGAAAGAAGCCAGUGUUUCAGCCUGUCCACCCGAUCCAGCCCAUCCAAAUGCCGGCUUUCACCACUGUGCAGAGAAAGUGAUACUUCGCUUUUGGAAAACUGUUACCUGAGACCCAGGGGAGUAUUUACUGGCCAUUUUACUUGUAUCACAGCAGAAUGAAUAAAAGAUGGUGAAGGCUGUUAAUUGUGAGACGGUUCUACCCCUGACUUUUUGCCAAAAGCUUACUUAAAAUUAAGGAUUUACUAAGUCAUCAUCAGCUGUUUUUCUUGAUUUCAGCCAGACUAUUAAUUUUGAGACAUUAUGUAAUAUAUGCCAUAGGCAAUUAAAACAUAAUUUUAUCAGAAGUCUUUUCUUGACUCUUAGAUUAUUUUAGCAUCUGAGGUUUUGUGUUAAUGUUUAAAAAUUGACAAAGAAGAACAUCAACAGUAGAUAAAUAGCCAAUUCAGAAGCUGACCUGGGAGUGAAGGGGAGGGAAAGAGAGUUGAUGUGUUUUAUGUCUAGUGAUGACUGAAAAGACCAGAAAAUGUGUUGAGAAAUUUGGUUAAGAAGACACAACUGGGCCAGGCACAGUGGCUCAUCCCUAUAAUCCCAGCACUUUGGGAGGCUGAGGUGGGCAGAUCACUUGAGGUCAGGAGUUUGAGACCAGCCUGGCCAGCAUGGUGAAACCCUAUCUCUAGUAAAAAUACAAAAAUUAGCCAGGCAUGGUGGCACAUGCCUAUAGUCCCAGCUACUCAGGAGGCUGAGGCAGGAAAAUCACUUGAACCUGGGAGGUGGAGGUUGCAGUGAGCUGACAUUGCACCAUUGCACUCCAGCCUGGGCAACAGAACAAGACAGUCUCAAAAAAAGACACAACUGAUCUGUUAGGAAUCAUUUGCUUAAAAAGUGUAAAUACAACAGGGUUCAGUAUACUGGCCCUGUUCACUCUCCUAGGUUCUGGAGUCUGUUAGCAGGCAGUUCAAGGUUCAUUACUAACCCUUUUGCAAAUGCAAACAAGAAUUUAAUAGCUUCUUCCCAAUAGACAGUUAUGUGUUGUGGGAUUGACAUUGAAAAACUUGCCAAUAGGAUGGAUAGAUACUAACAUUAAGUAGGGGGAAAAGAACAGUACAAGUGGGUGCAGUGGCUCACAUCUAUAAUCUCAGUGUUUUGGGAGACCAAGGCGGGAGGAUGGCUUGAGGAGUUCAAGACCAGCCUGGGCAAUAUAGCAAGACUCUGUCUCUAAAACUUUAAUUUUUUUUUUUUUUUGGAGACGGAGUCUUGCUCUGUCGCCCAGGCUAGAGUGCAGUGGUGCAAUCUCGGCUCACUACAAGCUCUGCCUCCUAGGUUCACGCCAUUCUCCUGCUUCAGCCUUCCGAGUAGCUGGGACUACAAGGGCCCACCACCACGCCUGGCUAAUUUUUUGUAUUUUUAGUAGAGACAGGGUUUCACUGUGGUCUCCAUCUCCUUACCUUGUGAUACGCCCGCCUUGGCCUCCCAAAGUGUUGGGAUUACAGGCGUGAGCCACUGCACCCGGCCCUCUAAAACAUUUUUUUUUUUUUCUAAAACAUUUUUAAAAGCCAGACAUUGUGGCCCAUGCCAGUAGUCCUAGCUAUUCUGGAGGCUGAGGUGGGAGGAUUGUUGAGCCUAGGAAUUCAAGGCUGCAGUGAGCUAUGUUGGCACCACUGCACUCCAGUCUGAUUGACAGAGUGAGACCCUAUCUUAAACAAACAAACAAAAAAAGACAAUGUAGAUUUCCUUUAAUAAAUUGGGUGUCCCCUAGUUAAGAUGGUAUUUGGUAGAUUCAUCAAAGCUUGCCAUUUAGGAGUAUCCCUUAACGUCACAACCCUUCACUUCCCUAGUUUAGAGAUGCACUAGCUGAAUCUACAUGUUACCUCAGUUUCAGAACUAGAGAGACAAGUGUGUGGAGAAGCACUGAUUUAUCUGAAACUUUAUCUGAAUUAUUCUUUUCUCUUUUUUUUUUUUUUUUUUUUAAACAGAGUCUCACUCUGUCUCCCACGCUGGAAUGCAGUGGCUGAUCUCGGCUCACUGCAGCCUCUGCCUCCCGGGUUCAAGUGAUUCUCCUGCCUCAGCCCCCUGAGUAGCUGGGAUUUCAGGUGUCUGCCACCAUGCCUGGCUAAUUUUUGUAUUUUUAGUGGAGACUGGGUUUCACCAUGUUGGUCAGGCUGGUCUGGAA
ensembl:lincRNA